rnacentral:rRNA from 1 species
UACAGAGGUCUCAAGCGUUGUUCGGAUUCAUUGGGCGUAAAGGGCGCGUAGGCUGCGGGGCAAGUCGGGUGUGAAAUCUCAGAGCUCAACUCUGAAACUGCACUCGAUACUGCUUUGCUUGAGGACUGGAGAGGAGAUUGGAAUUCACGGUGUAGCAGUGAAAUGCGUAGAUAUCGUGAGGAAGACCAGUGGCGAAAGCGGCGCACUGGACCACAACUGACGCUGAGGCGCGAAAGCUAGGGGGAGCAAACAGG